rnacentral:rRNA from 1 species
AACGAACGCUGACGGCGUGCUUCAUACAUGCAAGUCGAGCGGAUGUAGCAAUACAUCAGCGGCGAACGGGUGCGUAACACGUGAACAAUCUGCCCUCAGGUUUGGGAUAACGGCUCCAACGAGCCGCUAAUACCGGUUAGGUUAGUUUGGUCGCAUGGCCGAAUUAAGAAAGGUGCAAUUGCAUCGCCUGAGGAUGAGUUCGCGGACCAUUAGCUAGUUGGUGGGGUAAAGGCCCACCAAGGCUACGAUGGUUAGCCGGCCUGAGAGGGUGAUCGGCCACAUUGGGACUGAGAUACGGCCCAGACCCCUACGGGAGGCAGCAGUAGGGAAUUUUGCGCAAUGGACGAAAGUCUGACGCAGCAACGCCGUGUGAGGGAUGAAGCAUUUCGGUGUGUAAACCUCUGUCGUUGGUGACUAAAGUUUUCAGGGGUGGAAAGCCUGGAGAUUGAAUGUAGCCAAGAAGGAAGCACUGGCUAACUCUGUGCCAGCAGCCGCGGUAAUAC